GAUGAACGCUGGCGGCGUGCCUAAUACAUGCAAGUCGAGCGAACAGACGAGGAGCUUGCUCCUUUGACGUUAGCGGCGGACGGGUGAGUAACACGUGGGUAACCUACCUAUAAGACUGGGAUAACUUCGGGAAACCGGAGCUAAUACCGGAUAAUAUUUCGAACCGCAUGGUUCGAUAGUGAAAGAUGGCUCUGCUCUCACUUAUAGAUGGACCUGCGCCGUAUUAGCUAGUUGGUAAGGUAACGGCUUACCAAGGCAACGAUACGUAGCCGACCUGAGAGGGUGAGCGGCCACACUGGAACGGAGACACGGUCCAGACUCCUACGGGAGGCAGCAGUAGGGAAUCUUCCGCAAUGGGCGAAAGCCUGACGGAGCAACGCCGCGUGAGUGAUGAGGGUCUUCGGAUCGUAAAACUCUGUUAUUAGGGAAGAACAAACGUGUAAGUAACUGUGCACGUCUUGACGGUACCUAAUCAGAAAGCCACGGCUAACUACGUG
rnacentral:rRNA from 1 species